UACGUAUGGUGCAAGCGUUAUCCGGAUCUACUGGGCGUAAAGGGAGCGCAGGCGGUGCGCCAAGUCUGAUGUGAAACCCCGGGGCUCAACCCCGGGCAUGCAUUGGAAACUGGCGGGCUGGAGUGCCGGAGAGGUAAGCGGAAUUCCUAGUGUAGCGGUGAAAUGCGUAGAUAUUAGGAGGAACACCAGUGGCGAAGUCGGCUUACUGGACGGCAACUGACGCUGAGGCUCGAAAGCGUGGGGAGCAAACAGG
rnacentral:rRNA from 1 species